rnacentral:lncRNA from 1 species
AAGAAUGCUUUUAUUGCGAAUCACUCAGUCUUCAAAAAGUUUAUCCAAAACCUUUAGGAGUUUUCUCCUCACUACUAGAAGCCGGACUGCUCUCUCGAAUUGCGGAUGAUUGAAAAACGGGAAAAUAUCCGGGGAUUGUAUGAAGAAAACUGGACUAUUCUCUCUCUGCUCAAUUUUUUCAACCCAUUGAUUUUUGUAACUGUUUACUGCAGAUCAAUUGUACACUUAUUGAUGCUGCAAAAUCGAUUCAAGUAACCGUCUGUAUUCAAAUAAGGAGUUAUUGAUACAUAAAAAGUAUAGAAAUUGAGGAGCUGUAAGUGCAUAAAUUUAACUAAUAUCAGUCCAACUACAGAUUUUGCUUAAUUUUUUCUUAUGAUAUAUGUAUUUUUAAAACAGAAAACCAAGCAAUAGUGAAUCUUGAAAUUUCGUAAUUAUUGGCACUCUUCAUAAUCUAUGGCAAAUUCACUGAAAGUUCAAAGGUAUUACAUAGUUUAGUUCUCUGUUCAAAAAAAUAAACAUGAGAGAAAAGAGAAGAGAAGUUAAAUCCAUGCCAAUGAUGACUAAAUUUUAUUACUAUUGGAAGUGUCUCUAAAUUUCUGUCAUUGUCUAAGAACGUAUGGAGUUACCCAAAACACUUGCGUAUUGAUCAUUCCAUUGUUGUAAAAGCUGCUCUUAUUUUAGCCAGGGUUGCGAGAGUCAGAGAUUUUUUAAAUUAUGUUCAUGUAUUUUCUUUGUAGAAUGGUUUUAAUGUUUCAAACAACAAAUUUUGCAUUAACACUGUUUCAAAUCAUAUCCUUUUUACCAUUUAGCUUAUCCACAAAUUUUUGGGAAUGUCACCAAAAUGUGUGGGGGAAAUCAUGAGAAUGUCAGGAAUUUCAUUUUCUAAAGUCUGUGGCAAUCUUGUUUAAUGCUGCAAUAUUAUCGUUACUACUAUCAUGUUAACAUUUUUCGUCUGGGAAAUUAUUUCAGACUGACUGAGGAGAAAGUGAAGAUAUCUCACAUCUGCACUAACUCUCAAGAAACACUCAUGCAUCUAUGUCGAGCCACCUUAAAAUCGACGAGGAGCGAUGAUGACACCCUUUUAAAUUGCUGUUUUGUGACGGUCGCCGUUUUUUCUGAAGGAAUUGAAUCGAACCAGGCUCCAAAAAAACAAACAUUAAAGGUCCUCUUACUGACCUUGAAAAAGAUCAAAUUUGUCCUUUCCAACCAAAAUUUGAGCAAAAAUAGAAAAUGGCACCAUGUAUUUGCUCUCCUUGGAGUCCUCUUACUGAGGAACUCUGAAGUGUUCAGCAGCUCGGCCGACAAUAGAACGCAGUUUUUGAUCUCGAUACAUGAAAUCAUCAGUUCUUUUCUAAUUCCCUUCUUAUUAUCGAUAUAUCGAGAAUCUAAAAUGAAUGAAAAACUUAACCUUGCAGCUCUUACCUUAAUCAAUGAAUGGCUGAAACUGGAGAAAUAUGUGGGAAACAAAAAACCCCUUUAUGUGCAAAUAGCUAAGAGUGGUCUGUUUUAUUCUCUGACUGUCUUUAGAUUUCAAUCUGACCAAGGUAGCGAGCUGCGGUUUACAAUAAAUUCAAUCCUGGUCCAAGUUAUAAUGUCAGCAAGCCAAGAUGAAUUGCGAAUCAACUCUGAGAAUGAUGAAAGUUGCAAGCUCCUCCAACAUACUCUCGCGUCAGGUUUUGACGCUCUUCCAAGUAAAAUAUCUGCUUGGUCUCAAGUUUUUCUCCAGUUUCCGAAAAGCUCUGUUGCAGAAUUCUUGUCGGUUUUGCUGUUCUUUGGUGUAAAUUAUUACUUCUACAGCAGCUGCAGUGUUGUAUCAAGAGUUUUCUCCAGCAUCUGUCAUUGUCUCACAGCUAUUCCGACGGACUUUUCUUUGAAUCUCUUCAAACUGCUUUGGUUUAAUUUUGCCAUAAUGUUCAUGAACUGCAAGGAAAAAUCAAGAAUAAGAAAAUUGCCAGAGGCUAAUACAGCAGUGAUUUCAUUUGUUGAGAAGAAUGAAGAACACUUUGAGUCAAUAUUUCUGCCUCAUUAUGCAGUCUUGAUGUGGACUUUCCAGUGUGAUAUCCCUUUUCUUCAAGAAAAAGUGGUGGACAGUUGGCUGCUGAAUUUGAAGAGAACUUCUUUUCUAACCCUCCAAAAUCUUUGUCUAGUCUCCCAAGAAGCUGCUCAUUGUGUUUUGAAUGUCCUGUGUGAUACCAAAAAUGCCAGCGCUGCCAAGCAUGCUGCUCAAAUCUUCUACAGUCUUGUCCAGAAAAAUCAAGAUUAUCACACAAUUUUGUGGAAAAGAGCCUUUCUGGUUUUUGCAUCAGAGCCAUCUACAGAAAUAAAUGUUUACUACAUUGUCAGUCUUCUCAAACUCUGCCCUCCCUUAAAAAUGGAUCUUGUAAUGAAACAAAGCCUUUUCUCUUCGCUCCUCUCGUUUUGGGAAAAGUGGGAGCAGAGAGAAAGCACCAGUCGAAAAAACUAUGAGAUUAUUUCGAAAAUAAUUCAACUCAUGAACACACUCCUCUUCUAUGAAGAGUCACUUCCUCUGGUUAUUGCCACCGAUCCCAAGUUUUUAAGUCGAUUAGAAGUGAAUCUGCAGAGCCCUGACGUUCGCGUCCGCUACCUCUCUUCUAACCUCUUUCUAUCAGUUUUGAAGUUCUUACCGCCAAAUCAUCAGAUGGUGCCCAAGAUGAAUGUAAGUCCCAACUGCAUUCUGGAAAACAGCGCGGAUGCCUCAAUGGAAUUGGUAUCUGUGAGUGUCAAUCUGAUGACGUUCAUUCUCGAACCUGAAACUGAAAAUUGUCUGGCACCGAAGGACGAAUUCUCUUUUGACUUCUUGCGGACAGCCCUUCUUCAUUUCUUAUAUCUCUUCAUGAAGUAUGAUAACAGCACGAUGCAAGCGAUUUUCAAAUGCUUUGAGCUGAUUUUGAUUCGGAGUAAGAGGCUUAACUCUCGCAAGAUGCACGCUCAUUUUGUCACGCAUCCUGCAUUUCCCGAAGCAGUUUUUUUCUACCUCAAAAUAACGGAUGAUCUCAGGGAACUGUUCAGCAAGAAUUUUCUAGAUUUUUUGGCCGAUUGGUUCACAAGUGUUUAUGCAGAUCAGCUUAUAAGACAUGUACUCAUCAGCCAACGGAGAACUCAAGCUCCUCUUAUAUCAAGACUCUACCGCACUAUUUUAAACACAAGCGCGAAACUUCUCUCAUUCCUGAAUGAACACGAAACAAAUGAAGAAAUAUCUUCCAUACUGCAAAGUCUGAAAUUGCUCAUAGAUGUGUUGAUCAGCAUGAAGUACAUCAUCCCACCGGAAACAAUUAACUCUCUCAAGGGUAAAAAACUGAUCUUGCAACAAAGGAGUGCCUUAUCGGCAAGAAAAAAUUAAGUCUAAGUUAGGAUUUUAAACAUUAGAUUUAUGGCUCAGAUUUUAAGGUUUUAAUGAAUAUAAUAUAUAAUAAAUCUCCAAAUUUUAAGAAAAAUUUAUAAUACCAUCAAUUGAACACAUUUGAGCAAUUUCUGACCGAGUUUAAAUUUAUGAAAUAAAUUCUUGUCAUUACAUGGCUUGUUAAAAUCAUCUCUUCAAUUAGGUAAAUUUAAUUCAGUAUUUUUAAUAAUUUCAGUCAAUUUAAUUUUAAUUCAUUUCGCAGUGUUGAGCAAAAACCAACCAAGUGACUUGUUCAAAAGAAUUGAGCUGUG